rnacentral:tRNA from 1 species
GCCGCGCUGGCGGAUGGGCUGCGGCCGCAGGCGCGCUUUCGCGCGCGGGUGGCGAUCGGCUCGGAUCCGGUGUUGCAGCU